rnacentral:lncRNA from 1 species
GCUGCUUAUCAUUUGCUUUUCCUCAUGAGCUCCUGGACUACCUCAUAUCACCAGCACCCUCUACCCAAGGUCCUGGAGCCAACACUGGAGUAAAAGAGCAGAAGAGAGCUCCUUAGAGGUGGAGGGAUACCCUCUGAGGUCAAAUCAUUGGGUUUGUGGCCAUGAGACCACAGACUUUGCCUGGCUUCCAGUGACUGUCCAAGAUGACCGUGGAGUGCACCGCCUGUACUUGGACAUCACCGUCUUUUCGGAUCCAUACCUGUCAUCCUUGGAAUUUCCCCUGUAUCCAAACCUGUUCCUGAUACAGGUAUAACCCUAAGGAAUAUCUUGGAUGUCUUCACGGGGCUUAUGACUUAUUCUGAGGUUUGCAAAAUAAAGGCCCCCAGCUGAGCAAAGAUAGGGCUACAGCGCCGAGGGAACAGCUGCCGGACCCACCGGAGAGGCCUCCUGGAGCAUGCCGGGACCCCCUCCACCCCCUGGCUUUGGCUGCAUCCAUGGCUAGUUUGCCUGAACUAUAUCUGAGCCACUGAGAGUAUUUAUUAAGCAGAGAAUAAUUUUGAGUUUCACUUUUAUAACUUUUGUUUCAAAAGUUGUUUGUGGAUAAUUUAAUGAAAUGACUGUAAACCAGAAUUCCUCUUUUCAUUAUUUCUUUGUGUCGAUAUAAAAAGAGUUGAUGAUUUUAAAAGCCAGUGAGAUGCCCCUGUCUGUGGAUGUCAGCGGGAGCAUGGGGUCUGAAGCCUUUCUUUGGUGGCUCUCCAGGAAGAUUGCCCGAGCUUGCACUCCCUUUUGGCGGGUUCCAGAGCCUUCCAUUUGAAAGGAGCGUCUCUCCCCACUCUGCCCCACCCAGCACCAGCUCUUCU